rnacentral:rRNA from 1 species
UACGAAGGGUGCAAACGUUGCUCGGAAUUAUUGGGCGUAAAGCGCACGUAGGCGGCUUUGUAAGUCGGAUGUGAAAUCCCUCGGCUUAACCAAGGAAGUGCAUCCGAAACUACAGAGCUUGAGUACUUAAGAGGAUCGCGGAAUUCCCGGUGUAGAGGUGAAAUACGUAGAGAUUGGGAAGAACACCAGUGGCGAAGGCGGCUAUCUGGACGGUUUCUGACGCUAAGACGCGAAAGCGUGGGGAGCAAACAGG